rnacentral:rRNA from 1 species
ACGAAGAGGUAUCGUAAUUGAAGAGGUUUGGAAAGACCCACCACAGAAGGUAAUAGUCCUGUAUGUUAAACGAGAAGACUUCAGAUAUGAUCCAGAGUACCACGGGACACGUGAAACCCUGUGGGAAGCAGGAGGGACCACCCUCCAAGGCUAAAUACUACCUAGUGACCGAUAGCGUAUAGUACCGUGAGGGAAAGGUGAAAAGAACCCCGGGAGGGGAGUGAAAUAGAACCUGAAACCCUGCACUUACAAGCUGUGGAAGCACAUUUCUUGUGUGACCGCGUACUUUUUGUAGAACGGGCCAACGAGUUACGUUAAGUAGCAAGGUUAAGCACUUAAGGUGCGGAGCCGUAGCGAAAGCGAGUUUUAACUGAGCGUUCAGUUACUUGACGUAGACCCGAAACCGGGCGACCUACCCAUGAGCAGGAUGAAGCGAAAGUAAAAUUUCGUGGAGGUCCGAACCCACGAGCGUUGAAAAGCUCGGGGAUGACUUGUGGGUAGCGGUGAAAUUCCAAUCGAGCCCGGAGAUAGCUGGUUCUCCCCGAAAUAGCUUUAGGGCUAGCCUCAAGGUGAGAGAUACGGAGGUAGAGCACUGAAUGUCCUAGGGGGUAUUGCACCUACCGAAGACUAUCAAACUCCGAAUGCCGUCAUCUUAUACUUGGGAGUCAGACUGUGGGUGAUAAGAUUCAUAGUCGAAAGGGCAACAGCCCAGAUCGUCAGCUAAGGUCCCUAAAUGUAAGUUAAGUGGUAAAGGAUGUGGGAUUGCACAGACAACCAGGAUGUUGGCUUAGAAGCAGCCACUCAUUCAAAGAGUGCGUAAUAGCUCACUGG